rnacentral:tRNA from 1 species
AUGUCACAGGAGUCCCAUCAAUAUCAUGUCCGCAUGAAGAAAAACAUAAUCACGCUACAAGGGCGAUUGUCACAGCUCUGGCUCCCCAGCGCCAUGGCCCGUGGUCUCGGCUCCUCAAGUUCCGCUGCCAUUUCUACCAAAGCCGCUGACACCCGUGGAGCCCAAUCACGGAUCCCGCGCUCCAAGGGUCUGGCAGGCCUUGGAAAAGCCAGUGCGCUUGCUGGCAUGAGUGGCUCUGGCACGUGGCCCAAACGCUGGGCGCAGAUCCCCCGCAGCCGAGAGAGAAGUGGCCCGUCAGCCACCCGGCUUGGCUUGGCGGAAGCCGCUCUGCUCGGGAGUCCUGGCCCAUUCCGUGGCCAGACGAGGGUGCGAGGUGGGCGGCGGCGGCGGCGGCGGCGGUAGUGGCCGCGGUCACCUGGCGGCCAUGGGAGGAGAAAGCCUGACCCGGCCGGUGGGCCUUGCCACUGAGAAAGAGUGGGAGGGAGGCGAGCACCUGACAAGGAAGAACUGUGACGCGGAUGUUGCGAAGGUGGCGCCAGCGAGGCCAAAAGGACGGAGGGGUGGAGGUAGGCGGGGAGGUGGGGGCGCACGUGGAGGCCGCCGGAGGUUGUGGCUGGGGCGCCUGAGAAGCGAGGGAGCCUGUUGGUCAAAAGGGGAGGUGUGAAGGGGCCUGGCAGUUGGCAGGCAGAGCCAAAGAAGGAAGGCUUCCCUGACCGGGAAUCGAACCCGGGCCGCGGCGGUGAGAGCGCCGAAUCCUAACCACUAGACCACCAGGGAGAGACGGCCUUCAGGGCCCGGCUUGCGCCUCCUGGCCCCAGCGCCUGUGGCCCCAGCAUUGGGCGCUACCUUGGCGCCUGUCCCCUGCUUCCCUUUAAAACAAACACCCGCAACCAGCCCCGGAGACGCGGGCGGCAACCCGCCCGCCCCAACCAGCAGCUCUGGCCCUGUUCGCAGCACACCCUCCAAACACCGCGCCCCUCCUUCCCGGGCGCACACGCACGCAGCCCCUGGCCAAGCUCCGACACGAGCCCCGCGCCCGGGACCUCCGCAAAAGGUCGGCCCGCUGCGUUGGCCGGGAAUCGAACCCGGGU